AGAAGAGGAAGUCGUAACAUGGUAAGUCUACCGGAAGGUGGCCUUGGGAUCAGAAUAUAGCUUAAUAAAAGCACUUUGUUUACACCAAAGAUAUAUCAAUUUGAUUAUUUUGACAUUAAAAAUCUAGCCUAUUUUCAUUAUAUAUUCUUUAAUUAAUUAAAUCAUUUUAACUAUAUUAGUAUGAGUGACAGAAAAUUUAUUAGCGCUAUAAAUAAAGUACUGUAAAGGAAAGAUGAAAUAGAAAUUAAAUAAAUUAUAAAAAUAUAAUUAAGCAAAGAUUAAUUCUUGUACCUUUUGCAUAAUGGUCUAGCAAGUUUUAUUCAACAAAAGUAUUUAUGUUGAAUUCCCCGAAACCAAACGAGCUACCUUAGAGCAAAUAUUAAAUAAUCCUUCUCUGUGGCAAAAGAGAGUGAAAGACUUUUAGGUAGAGGUGAAACCCCAAACGAGCUUGGAGAUAGCUGGUUACUUGGGAAUGAAUUAAGUUCAAUUAAAACCAAAAAUACCAAUAAGGAUACAUAAUGUUUUUAAUUUAAUAAAUUAGGGUACAGCCUAUUUUAUAAAGGGAACAGCCUAUAUAAAUGAAUAAAGAUUAUAAUAUAAAUUAUGACUAAGUAGGCUUAAGAGCAGCCACCAUAAAAUAGCGUUACAGCUUAAUUAUAUAUUUAAAUUAUUCAAAUAAAAUAUCUAAAUUCAUUUUUAUAACCAAGUUAAUCUAUUUAUAGAUAAACUACUACUAGAAUGAGUAAUAAGAAAUGUCUCUAAAUGCAUGUGUAUAUCAAAAUGAACUCUAUUGAUAAUUAACGAAAAGAUUUUCUAAAACAAGAAUCUAAAUUCUUUAGUCCGUUUACCCAACACAGGUGUAUAAAAGAAAGACUUAAAACUUAAGAAGGAACUCGGCAAACCAGGCUUCGCCUGUUUACCAAAAACAUCGCCUUUCGAUAAAUAAACAUGAAAGGUCCUGCCUGCCCAGUGAUAAAUAUUCAACGGCCGCGGUAUUAUGACCGUGCAAAGGUAGCAUAAUCAUUUGUCUUCUAAAUCAAGACCAGUAUGAAUGGCAAAACGAAAGCUUAACUGUCUCCUUAAGUUAGUCAAUGAAAUUGAUUUUCCCGUGCAGAAGCGGGAAUGUAUAUAUAAGACAAAAAGACCCUGUGGAGCUUUAAAAUAAUGUUAUAUAAAGAUUUUACAAUAACAUUAAGUUUUAGGUUGGGGCGACCGUGAGGUAAAGUAAAACCCUCGAGAAAAUAAUUAGAAAGACACUUCAAAUAAAAUAAAAUAUAUAUAUGACCCAUUAAUGAUCAACGAACCAAGUUACCCCAGGGAUAACAGCGCAAUCCUUUCUUAAAGUCCAUAUUAACGAAUGGGUUUACGACCUCGAUGUUGGAUCAGGACCCCCUAAUGGUGCAACAACUAUUAAAGGUUCGUUGUCAACGAUAAG
rnacentral:rRNA from 1 species